rnacentral:misc_RNA from 1 species
GAGUUCAUGCCCUCACGGGUAGACCUCCCACCCUUGUGUAUUUAUACUAUGUUGCUUUGGCAGGUUGCUGCACCCCUCGGGGGACAGCCCCAGCGCCUUCGGGCCUGGGAGUCGCCUGCCGGAGGAAAAACAAACUCUGAAUUGUUAGUGUCGUCUGAGUACUAUAUUUUAAUAGUUAAAACUUUCAACAACGGAUCUCUUGGUUCU